GAUGAACGCUGGCGGAGUGCCUAAUACAUGCAAGUCGAGCGAACGGACGAGAAGCUUGCUUCUCUGAUGUUAGCGGCGGACGGGUGAGUAACACGUGGAUAACCUACCUAUAAGACUGGGAUAACUUCGGGAAACCGGAGCUAAUACCGGAUAAUAUUUUGAACCGCAUGGUUCAAAAGUAAAAGACGGUCUUGCUGUCACUUAUAGAUGGAUCCGCGCUGCAUUAGCUAGUUGGUAAGGUAACGGCUUACCAAGGCAACGAUGCAUAGCCGACCUGAGAGGGUGAUCGGCCACACUGGAACUGAGACACGGUCCAGACUCCUACGGGAGGCAGCAGUAGGGAAUCUUCCGCAAUGGGCGAAAGCCUGACGGAGCAACGCCGCGUGAGUGAUGAAGGUCUUCGGAUCGUAAAACUCUGUUAUUAGGGAAGAACAUAUGUGUAAGUAACUGUGCACAUCUUGACGGUACCUAAUCAGAAAGCCACGGCUAACUACGUG
rnacentral:rRNA from 1 species